UAGCUUACGUCAGUUACGUCUCUACGCCGCGCCAACUCACGCUCGGCAGUUGAAAUGUCAGUUGAGGUAAAAGCAGCGAAAGUCUGCUGUUUGCUAGUUUCUACGCUAACUUAACCAAAUGAGCGUUGAAUAGAAACUUUUUAACGCUUCCUGAUUGAGCCAAAGAAAUCAAAGAGGCGACUCCUGUUAUUUACAGAUAUGGGGGCCCUGAUAUCACGAUGGAAGACAAAGCAAACCACAGUUGAGCAGCUGGAGAGCAUUGACAAGGAGAUUAAAGAGCUGGAGGAGUUCAGAGCCAAAAACCAACGUCUGCAAAAGCUAUGGGUCGGCCGGUUGCUUCUCUACUCAUCAGUCCUAUACCUGAUGACCUGUCUGAUUGUGUACUAUCUCUACCUACCUGAACAAUGGUUGUACAGACUGGCCAUGGCUCUGCCUUUCUUCAUAUACCCUGUGCUGGUGUGGUUCAUCAGGAAGUUGUUGAUCUUUCUCUUUUCCAAACGCACUGAGAGAAACAAUGACAAACUGGAAGAUUUAAAAGCUUCCAAAAAAAAGAUUCUGGAAGAAGUGAUGGAAACGGAGACGUAUAAAAACGCCAAAAUCAUCCUGGAACGCUUUGAUCCUGAAGCUAAGAAGAAAGUUGAGCUUGAGUCCACUCCAGUGCGUCCACAGAUGACUCCCAGGCCAGGACAAGAGAUACGACAGAGAGGGGUGGCAAUGAGACCCAUGCCGAUGGGCACCCCGGGGCCAAUGGCCAUGACUCCCCCACCUGGAGCACGGCCCCCUUUGGGACCAGGGGGCACACCUGUGGAACCUGUCCCUCUCUCAGCUCCAGGAGGACCGCCGGAGAGAUCUCUGUCUGCCUCUGUACUCCAGGGGGCAAUACCCAGGACCCCCUGCUCCCCUAUACCAGGAGUAGGGAUGCAUCCACCAGGUCCUCCAUUAGCAAGACCCAUUCUGCCCAAAGACAGAGGAGCCAUGGACCGAGUCAUUGAGUACCUGGUAGGGGAUGGACCACAGAACAGAUACGCGUUGAUCUGCCAACAGUGUUUUUCUCAUAACGGCAUGGCUCUGAAAGAAGAGUAUGAAUAUCUAGCGUUCCGUUGUGCAUACUGCUACUUCCUGAAUCCGGCACGGAAGACACGCCCUCAGGCUCCCAGGCUUCCAGAGUUCAGCUACGAGAGGAGGCUGCGAGCAGAAUCACGUUCCCCUGGACCAAAGCAGCGUUCUGGGACAGACACAGAGGAGAGUGCACCCCCCUCUGGAGCCAAGGCUCCAGCUCCAUCGAAUUUGGUCCACAGUUUCAGGAUCCAGCAGAGUCCAAAGAACCCACAGAACCGACCUCUGCAGAGUCCAGGUUCCCCUCCUCUCCCUGCACUGUCUGAUCUGGCUUAAUUUAAACUGAUCGUCCCAGAAUGGAUCAAUUUUCUUCGCUUUAGAAUCAAUAACAUUGUAGAACGCAGCCAAAUGCCUAGCCCAAUUUGCUACUUCGAAUAACAUUAAGCAACAAUGGGUUUAAGCAGUUACUGUAUGAUUUCACCAGACCUGGGUCAAACAGUGUUUACAAAUACAUUCUAUUCAGGGGAAUAAAACUCCUGUUGUAAUGCUCUAAAUAUCACAGAAACACCUGAUCUAGUACUGUCUGAAUUGACUUGAUAGAUUAAAUAUGUGCUUAAGAAAGGCUAAAUAAAGCCUGAAAUGAAAAAAAAAAUGCAAUUGUUUGACCCAGAUCUGGUCUUCAACGAAUGCAAAAUGUACAAAAUAUUUGGGCAAAUUUCUUAAAUGACUAAUUUCCUCUCCAAUCAACAGAAAUCAAUGUAUUAAUCAUCUAAAAUGUUCUUAAAUUGUGUCAUCUAUGCUCACUUUAUCUCAAAAACAGAUCAGAGUAUGUGCCUAGUCAGAUGGUAUCAUGUAAAAACCAAGCAUGUCAAAUAUUUUGUGCAUAAAGCGAUUUUGUGUCUGAUCAUUUAACCCCUACUCAGACUAGAAGUAUUUCUGUAGUGGAGCUUAGGGGAGCUUGGGAGAUUUUAAUGCAACAGCUCUGAUUAGUGGUUUAAAUCUUGCCCUCAGCACAUUUUUACCUAAUCCGAAUUUUAAUUAGUGCCUAACAUUUAGUUUUUUGUAGAUGUGUAGUUCAUCCCCUAAUUUAAGUUCCAUCUGUUCAGAUACAGUACGGAUCUGAGUUUUAACACAUUCAGACGUUAGCUUCCAGUUAUUUCCAGUUCAGCAGGUAAUUUGUGUAUACAGAAUAUUCUGUAGUCUAAUUGCGCAGUGUGGUCUGCAGCUAUGACUCUAGUGACUGAAGACCAGAGCAACUAGUGUGUUACUUAUCUUCUUAUGAAUAUUAAUCCUGUCCAAACAGAGCUAAAUCUUCCUUCUGCCAUAUUCUCGAUUGAUGAUUAUUUCAUUUACAUUAACAAUCAUCUUAACAUGUCUAUCUGUAACAGCAGGGCCUUUGGUUUUGAUUUUGGUGAUGAUGGGGAUUAUGUGUGAGUUGAACAGAACGGUUUUAUACUUGUAUGUUAGAUGGGAGGAGGGAGUUUUUAAAGAAUGUUAGUAAGACCUCUUGAUUGUUUCUCCCAAUUCUUGUUUAACUUAUGUUAACCCUAACAAAGGGAAUGCUGCUAAUUUUCUUUGAUUUACCACUGAUUUUUUAACUCCCAACAACCAAUCUUUUGUUGCACUGCGAACUGUUCAUAUUAUCUUUAUGAACCUUUCCUAUUCUGUCUAUUAGGGAUGUAACGAUACACUCGGCUCGAUAAAGUUAGUUGAAUUAUGAAAAAAUUAUGAAAAGGGUCCCUUUGUUUCUUCGCCAAAAAUGUACUUUGUCUUAUCUUUUUUAAAAAAAAUCAGAUUAUAGAAUCAUUUUUUUAUCUUUUAUUUCAGAGCUUUUGUAAAAGUGUAACUGAAUUGAUGAUUUUAUCAACCUCAAAUCUGGUAGAUACAUAAAUAAUACAUUAAAAAAAUAAUGCUGGGCCUGCCUUCCUACCUUGGAAUAUACAUUUUUUUUCCUGGAUGUCAGCAUUUUUGUAUUUUCAGGCAGAAGCUGAGAUCUUUGGACAUCCACAAAGGACAGAUUUAUUGUGUUAUCUUAUCAUCUAUUUAAUUUUAUGUCUUCCGUCUGGAUUCCAAUCAGACAUAGGUGUGGCACACUCAGCUUUGACGUAGCCGCUGGAGCAGAUAAUUCCUCCGGACUCAGCGUAGCGUGGUGCUGCCGAAGCUCCAAAUUUUUCUCCGCCGCCACCACCGCCAUGUUUUUCCACCUUGAUAUAGUUGCUGAUUAUGAGAAGGAAGACGAAGGAGCCACUAAAGUAGAAAGCGAGAGCCAAUCAGAGGAGCAGGAGCA